rnacentral:rRNA from 1 species
AUUGAACGCUGGCGGCAGUCCUAACACAUGCAAGUCGAACGAGUGGCGGACGGGUGAGUAAUGUCUGGGAAACUGCCCGAUGGAGGGGGAUAACUACUUGAAACGGUAGCUAAUACCGCAUACCAUCGGAUGUGCACAGAUGGGAUUAGCUAGUAGGUGGGGUAAUGGGUCACCUAGGCGAGGAUCCCUAGCUGGUCUGACAGGAUGACCGGCAACACUGGGACUGAUAAAAGGUCCAAACUCGUACGGGAGGCAGCAGUGGGGAAUAUUGCACAAUGGGCGCAAGCCUGAUGCAGCCAUGCAGCGUGUAUGAAGAAGGCCUUCGGGUUGUAAAGUACUUUCAGCGGGGAGGCGUUAACCACAAAAGAAUCACCGGCUAACUCCGUGCCAGCCGCCGCGGUAAUUC